UCCAGGCCGAACGUCUGAUCCUUAGUCGUUUUGACUGGGGAAAGUGAAGCAGACUAUUUGCGGCUUCACUCCGCCAUGCAUUAAGUAAAACCAAUACGUCAUGAAUAACUUGAUGGAUGGCCCACCCUAAGGGAAAACCAAUAAGUCAUGAAUAACUUGAUGGAUGGCCCACCCUAAGGUGAAACCAAUAGGCCAUAGAACACUUGAUGGCCACCCUAAGGGAAAACCAAUAAGUCAUGAAUAACUUGAUGGAUGGCCACCCUAAGGUGAAACCAAUAAGCCAGGGAACACUUGAUGGCCACCGUAAGGUCAUUGGCUCAAAGGGAGGAGACCUGGUCACUCUAAGUGAACGUGUGGAGAAGCAACAGCACAACGUGUACAACAUUUUAUUGCACUUCACAAAAUAAAAAACAAUGUACUAAA